rnacentral:rRNA from 1 species
UACGUAGGGCGCAAGCGUUGUCCGGAAUUAUUGGGCGUAAAGAGCUCGUAGGCGGUUUGUCGCGUCUGCUGUGAAAACCUAAGGCUCAACCUUGGGCUUGCAGUGGGUACGGGCAGACUAGAGUGCGGUAGGGGUGACUGGAAUUCCUGGUGUAGCGGUGGAAUGCGCAGAUAUCAGGAGGAACACCGAUGGGCGAAGGCAGGAUCACUG